GCGCUUGGUUUGGCAGCACCUGCACUGAGGCUGGAACCACACGAAGAUCAGCCCAGCCCCCGAGCAAGGACGACACGCACGUUCACGAAGUGUUCCGUUUUUUU